rnacentral:tRNA from 1 species
GCCUUCGUAGUGUAGUGUCAGCAUUCUCGACGCGUAACCGAGAGGUCCGUGGUUCGAUUCCCGACGAAGGCG